UGAUGAAGUCCGGAUGAAGUUCGGAGUAGAGUCGUCCAUGGACGAAAGAAGUCUGGAAGAGAUUCGGAGAAUAGCCAAUCAUCGUAGAAAAUCGACUGAUAGUGGAGUCCAGAGGGCGUUUGGAACAAUCCGGUAGAUGAAUGAGGAAGCUCAUUGUCAGAGAAGUCUGGAUGGUGUUAUGGAAGCUCGGACGGUCGAGGGAGUUCAGAAAGACG
rnacentral:lncRNA from 1 species